rnacentral:rRNA from 1 species
GGCUGAAAUUACGCCUACAUGAAGUUGGAAUUGCUGUAAUGGCAGGUCAGCAUACUGCCGUGAAUACGUUCCCGGGCCUUGUACACACCGCCCGUCACACCAUGAGAGUUGGAGAUACCCGAAGCCUGUGAGCUAACUUUUUAAGAGGCAGCAGUCGAAGGUAGAAUCAAUGAUUGGGGUGAAGUCGUAACAAGGUAUC